rnacentral:rRNA from 1 species
AUUGAACGCUGGCGGCAGGCCUAACACAUGCAAGUCGAACGAGCGGCGCACGGGUGAGUGAUGUCUGGGAAACUGCCUGAUGGAGGGGGGUAUCAACUGUGAACGGUAUCUAAUACCGCACACGAUAUCAUGUGCCCAGAUGGGAUUAGCUCGUGGGUGGGGUAAUGGCUCACCUAGGCGACGAUCCCUAGCUGGUCUGAGAGGAUGACCAGCCACACUGGAACUGAGACACGGUCCAGACUCCUACGGGAGGCAGCAGUGGGGAAUAUUGCACAAUGGGCGCAAGCCUGAUGCAGCCAUGCCGCGUGUGUGAAGAAGGCCUUCGGGUUGUAAAGCACUUUCAGCGGGGAGGCGUUACCCGCAGAAGAAGCACCGGCUAACUCCGUGCCAGCCGCCGCGGUAAUUC